rnacentral:rRNA from 1 species
CGGGAUAGUGGCGGACGGGUGAGUAACACGUGGGAACGUGCCUUUUGGUUCGGAACAACUCAGGGAAACUUGAGCUAAUACCGAAUGUGCCCUCGGGGAAAGAUUUAUCGCCAUUAGAGCGGCCCGCGUCUGAUUAGCUAGUUGGUGAGGUAAUGGCUCACCAAGGCGACGAUCAGUAGCUGGUCUGAGAGGAUGAUCAGCCACACUGGGACUGAGACACAGGCCCAGACUCCUACGGGAGGCAGCAGUGGGGAAUCUUGCGCAAUGGGCGAAAGCCUGNNCAGCCAUGCCGCGUGAAUGAUGAAGGUCUUAGGAUUGUAAAAUUCUUUCACCGGGGACGAUAAUGACGGUACCCGGAG